rnacentral:rRNA from 1 species
CAAUAGCGUAUAUUUAAGUUGCUGCAGUUAAAAAGCUCGUAGUUGGAUUUCGGGUGGGAAUGGCCGGUCCGCCGUUUCGGUGUGCACUUGCUACGCCCACCUUGCUGCCGGGGACGUGCUCUUGAGUUCACGCUCGGGACACGGAGUCGGCGAGGUUACUUUGAGUAAAUUAGAGUGUUCAAAGCAGGCCUACGCUCUGAAUACAUUAGCAUGGAAUAACACGAUAGGACUCUGGCCUAUCUUGUUGGUCUGUAGGACCGGAGUAAUGAUUAAGAGGGACAGUCGGGGGGCAUUCGUAUUUCAUUGUCAGAGGUGAAAUUCUUGGAUUUAUGAAAGACGAACUACUGCGAAAGCAUUUGCCAAGGAUGUUUUCAUUAA